GUUAUCGGAACAACUUGCAAAUCUCCUAUCCAAACAUAAUAUUACAGUUGCACAUAAAGGGUACAAUCUCUUAAAAAGGAAUUAUACACAACUAAAAGCGAAAACUCCUCAAUUAAAAAAAUCGCAUGUUGUAUAUGAGAUCCCCUGCUCAAAUUGCGAUGGGGUAUAUAUUGGACAAACCAGCCAGCUACUGAACUCAAGAAUACGUUCUCACAAAUAUGAUACAAAAAACUCAACAGCCCUCACAAAACAUGAAAACGAGAAAAGACAUAAAUUUGAUUUUGACAAAACUAAAAUCCUAAAAACUGAACAAAACAGGAAAAAGAGGGAGCUCCUGGAAUCUAUAGAGAUUAAAAAAAAACAACAACGCCAUAAAUGAUAAAAAAGACGUUAAUCAGUUAAACAAGAUUUAUUUUAAUCUAAUCUAAAAUAAAUAAAAGAAAAUUUCAGCACGCCCAUGACAUGAUAGCAACCUACUGAUUAAGUGAUAAAUCAAACAUCAACCAAUAUCACACUGAUUUUGACACUAUAUCUUAAGUAAUGACAUAUUGGGUAUAUUCCUAUGUUUUAACAUUGUUUUAAAUUUGUGACGUCUAUUUGUGUACCUAGUUGUUUCACAACCAACUUUGCAUGCAUGUCAUGUAUUUCUUGAAAAAGGCAUGGAUUCCUGCCGAAACGUCGAAAUAAAAAUGUCAUAACAUCAUA